GUUGUCCAGAAUAGAAUUUUAGUUCAACUUUAAAUUUUCCUAAAGGACAUAAAACCCUAAUGAAAAUUUAAAUGUUACUCUAAAGAGGGACAGCUCUUUAGAUAUAGGAUACAGCCUUUUAUAAAGAGUAAGUUAUUUUUCAAUCCAUAGUUGGCUUAAAAGCAGCCAUCAAUUAAGAAAGCGUUAAAGCUCAACAACUAAAAACCAACUUAAUAAGAAUAUUUUAAAACGAACUCUUAUAAACCCUAACUGGACUAAUCUAUAAAUCUAUAGAAGAAAUAAUGCUAAUAUAAGUAACAAGAAUACUAUUCUCCUUGCACAAGCUUAUAUCAGAUCGGAUGCCCACUGAUAGUUAACAGCCCCAAUAGAAAUAAUCCACAAAUUAAUAAUCUAUUAACUUUCACUGUUAACCCAACACAGGAGUGCUAUAUAGGAAAGAUUAAAAGAAGAAAAAGGAACUCGGCAAACCCUAACCCCGCCUGUUUACCAAAAACAUCACCUCUAGCAUUACUAGUAUUAGAGGCACUGCCUGCCCAGUGACGUACGUUCAACGGCCGCGGUAUCCUG
rnacentral:rRNA from 1 species